UACGUAGGGGGCAAGCGUUGUCCGGAUUUAUUGGGCGUAAAGGGUGCGUAGGCGGUUCUUUAAGUCAGGGGUGAAAUCCUGGAGCUCAACUCCAGAACUGCCUUUGAUACUGAAGAUCUUGAGUUCGGGAGAGGUGAGUGGAACUGCGAGUGUAGAGGUGAAAUUCGUAGAUAUUCGCAAGAACACCAGUGGCGAAGGCGGCUCACUGGCCCGAUACUGACGCUGAGGCACGAAAGCGUGGGGAGCAAACAGG
rnacentral:rRNA from 1 species